UCUAGAACCUCUUUCACAUGAACAUCUUAAAGUGUUUAACAAACAUUAAUCCUCAAACCACUGGCUAGAUGGAUAUAUAUUAUAAUCCUAAUUUUGAAGUUGGAGAAACUAAGGCACAGAAAAGUGCUGAACCUUUGUCCUGAUCCACAUUGGAAGUAAAACCAAGUUCAGAUGAACCUGUUCCUGACACCUAUCAGCAGCAAUAGGUCAUUUUUCUAAUGAAGAUGACAUCGUGCAGACACACUCAGACCGUAGGAAGCAGAACUCAACAGCAAACCUCUAAGCACUUAGUGCUGGCAGUCUUCAGAGGAAGGAUCAACUUAAGUCACAGGGAUACGAAUGGCAAGAACAUACCAGGACAAAGGUCCAAAGGACUAGUUUUUGGGCUUUAAAAAGAUUUGGUAUGCUACCCCUGCUACAGUUUAUAUGUUGGAAUGAGUAAGUGCCUUCUAGUAAUCAGUUUGCUAGAUUAGUUGAAAGAAAAGUCUCUGAAAAAUUUGGGGACAAAAAUGGUUUUGGUUGUCAAACAUUUUAAGGCAAUAGGAGCUUGUACCCAUAGUCAUCUUCCAGUACUAUUGAAGGCAGCUGUUAGCCUGAAAGUGUCUCCUUAAUCUAAAAGCAACAACAGCUAGAAAAUCAGGUACUAGACACAAAGGAAUUGAGGUUAACUGAUUGCAGCUUUUGUUUUAAUAUGUUGAAAUCCUUCUGCAAGGACCUAACAUAAAAUUACUAGGGAUAUUCUUAAAGCUGCAGCACCUGACAUUGCUACAGAUUAUAUUUUUUCACUCUUUUGGACAGGGAAACUUUUGUAAAUUAGGUAUAAACCCAAUUUAAAUGGUCUGAUUUCUUUAAAAAAAUCAUACAGCUCCCCAUGAUGUUGACAGGAAUUCAAUGAGGUUAGUGACAAAUGAAGCACCAUUGUACUUCUGUAUGAGGUUAAAGGAUUCCUUACCACUUUUGAAAACAUAUGGGUGCUCCCUGCCUGUCUUUUUUACUCCUAUUCCCUUAAGGGAGAAGGAACAAGACUGAAAAUGCACCUGGCAGUUUUCAGACUAACUGUAGGUAAGAGUGAUCAAAAAAUUAAAUGAGAACUCGUCCUCUAUUUUCAGAAGCUGAAGCAAGUUAAAACAGAUUUUUCCAAAGUUUUGGCAUAAUACCAUGCAGCUGAAAGAAUUUGAGAUUUGGAGUGGGUUUUCAGAAAUCUCAGGCUGGAGAAGUCUUUCCUAGCCAGGUUGAAUGACAGAACAUCUGAAGACCAAGGGGAAAGUAUUCUCAGAAUCCCACCCAGAACUCUGAUUUUCGAUCUUAAUUUUCCUUCACUGAACUUUUUUAAAAAAAGGAAUCACCUGUGGAUCUAGAUAGAGAAAUAUCUGCAACGAAGAGCAAUGUCAUCUCCCCAGAACAGUGUGAUUUUGAAGUGCAGUCCAGAACAAUUGCAUGCUGAGGAAGAAAAUACUCUGCUAAAUUUUAAGAAAUCCCUAAUUCUAGUAACGGGGGAACAUGCAGUGGCCUACAACAGGAGACUAAUACUCCUGGAUAUUUAUUUGAAAGUUACCACAAAAUACAGGCAUAUUCUGUUAAUUUAUUCUACCCAGAAGUUUAAGGUGGCUAACGUGUUACUAGGUGAUAUGAGAAAACACCAUUCAGUCAUUUAACUUUCUUAAAGCAUAGAAGCCAUAAUCUACCAUGCAAGAAUCAUUUUGACUGACAUUUCAUUUGCUAGGGCAGGAGGAAUAGGGAAUCACUCUUAAAAAAAAACACACACAACACCCACAACUCUUGGAGCACUUGCAAAAGGUGGUCAUGAAAAAGCAGGGCUUUACUUUCUACUUCCUUUAUGCAUUAAGUACUUGUGAGUAGCUGAAAGCAUUAGGAGAUUCCAAGUGACAUAGAACAAACAAGAAAACCAAACAAGAAUAUUCUACUCAGACAGUGAGGGGAGGAAGUAAUAGAGAGAUCUUAGCGGCUUUUCACUAAAGUCUUGAUUACAGCUCCACUCCAUUGUAUCCCUCUUGUUUUGUACUCUUCUUGAUAUGAAUCAGGAUUUAAAUGGGGCCUGAACUCUUCUUCUUUCAUCCUAUAACACAGCAUAGCGUCGAAGCAGGGUUUGAACCUUCUUUACAAUACCUGAAUGUGUCCAUCUACAAAGUCUGAUCUACUUUCUGUACAGUACUUCAUGGAUUCUGACCUUAGCAUUCCAAAAUAUAUCUCCCCUAAUCCACAUUAAUGUAAACCGAACACUCUUCCUCUCAAUCUCCCAAUCUGUAAAAUGGGAACUGUAUUUAUUUGCUUACCACAUAGGGUGUGUCUGUUCUACUCCUGGGAGAAAGUCUCCCACUAUGGGUAGACAAAUUUGCACUAGCAGAGUUGUGCACUUAAAAAUAGCAAUGUGGAUGCUGCAUCUCAGGCUGACCCCAAGUGGCUAGUCUGAGUCUCUGCCAGGGCUACAACAUCCAUGCUGCUAUUUUCAGCGUGUUAGCUCAUGCCCCACUAGUGCAAGUGGGUUGGAAAAUUUACUCCCAGCUACAGUGCAGUCAUUACCCACAGAGGUGUAGAUGUUUGAGGAUUAAAGUUUGUACACUGGUAGAGAGAUAUAAAGAACUACAAGUGCUAAGUAUUACCACUAUGCAGAAAAAUUGAGAAAACUGAUUAUUUUAAACAAGAAGUUUAUUUAAACAACAAGACGCUUUACUUGAAGGGAAACUAUCUAGGAUCAAUGUUUUUUGGAGUAAUUUACCCCUACUUAGACAGAGAUUGCUCUACAUGUAACAGCUACGUACAAAAAAGUUAUAAAAUCGUCCUUGGUUUUACAAUGAUAAAAGAAAAACAUUGAAAUUAUCCAAUCAAACAAAGUAUGCAAUGUUUUUGUUUGUCAACAGUGAGAGCAAAAUAACUUACUGGAAUAUAAAGAUAAAAGUUGAAGGAGCAUGCCACAAUGGAGAAAAGGGGUAUUUUCACAGAACCAGGCUUUUUUUCCCCACCCCAUCUCCAUUCCAUGUUGAUCAAAACAUACCAUUGGCCAUUUAGUUAAAAAAAAUAUGCAUUGUGUCUGUGCACAUACACCAGAUACUUUAUGUACAAUAGAAGGAAGAGGAAAAAAGAGAAGAGAAAAAA